GUACGUUCACUGUAAGUUCUGUAAGUCUUUCUGAACACCCCAAGCAAUAACAAAGAACAAGGUUGGGGUUCUAAAGAUAUAAUACAAAUUUGAUAAUAACCCCCGACUAGACUAGGUUCUAGAGACCUCAAAUAGAUAAUAAUUACCCCCUUGAAUAUUCAAUUCUACAGAUCUUCUACUUUGUCAAAUUGAAGCCUAACAGAAAUUGUUCAGUGGCAACAUUGAGUUAUUGGUGGUUCAAAGUAAACCCACAAUGAGCCAACAAAUAUUUCACUAUGACAAUACUGUGAGUAGUCUGACAUGUGUUCAUGAUUUUACAUCUCUUCCCUUUAGUGUGGUUGUAUAUGGGUUAGAACUGACAGGUCAUAAAAGAAGACAAAUGUAUGUGCUUAUGAUGAUUCAGUUUUAUAUUUUUUACCGAACUGAAGAGAAACAUCAAAGGGACUGACUGUGAAGUGUGUGUGUAUGUGUGUGUGUGUGUGUGUGUGUGUGUGUGUGUGUGUGUGUGUGUGUGUGUGUGUGUGUGUGUGUGUGUGCAUGUGAGUAUGUGUGUGUGUGUGUUCACAAUAUCAGUCAAAACUAUACAACAUUUUCAGCCAGCAGCCAUUGAUAAACUUGGUUAACUUUUUCCCCAUUUUCCUACACCGUCACAUCUCACAGUCAAUUAAAAACAGAACCGUUUAACACAGCAUAAGAAAAUGACAUGUUUCAAAACAAUAAAUCAGUGUUUCAUAUGAUAGAAAAAACAAAAAUCUGCCCACGUUGGACAUAUUCCCUAGAUUCAUACUGAUGUUAAACACAAGUACAAAUGCGACAUGGACCAUCUUUCAUAUACACCAUUAUAAUCAUGCUACAAAGCCUUCCAAAAUAUUAUUAUCAAAUUCCAUUUCAGUGCAUUUAUUCAUUGUUAUCGUUUUCAGAGUCAAUGUGAAUCUGCUUUGUACUGUCCAGCUCCAGGAUAAAACAAAACAUGUCCAGUGAAUUGGAGUGAGGUAAGAUGUUGAGAUGAGUAAAUGUAUUUUGUCUGUGCGUGUAUAUAUCUGUGUGCAAUGUGUGUGUGUGAGUGUAAUUGUGCCUAUACAUGUAUUCAACCCUAAUAUUCUUAAUUGCUUGGUGUCACCCAUAUUUUUGAAUGAUUGAGAUAGCUAAAAGAUAAUAUGAUCUGUGUGUGCUACCAUAUCACUAUUGAUUAUUUUAUGACAACUGUAAUACUGUAAAUAUUAUUGCCAUAAUAAUUUACAUUUGAAUGUGUGUUGUGUGUGUAUCGCCGUGUGCAAAUGGUCAGUCACCGAUCUGGACCCGGGGUAGGCUGCGGGGGUGGGGGGGCAAUGCCUGAUGUGGGUGACUGCGCAUUUGUGUGUGUGCGCAUUUGUAAUUUCAAGAAGUUAUGCAGACUUUAAAAUUCAUGGAGUAAGUAAAGGGUCUUGCAGAGCACAGACAAACGCACACACACAUACAUGUGCAUUCAAACAUACAUAAACACACACACACACACACACACAUGCAUGCAAACAUACAUAAACACACACACUGAGAGACGCACUCAGUCACACACGCGUGCUCACACACACACACGUGCUCACACACACACGCCCAGACUACAGAGAGCCCGUAGCUCGUGUAACCCUGUGCUGUCCUAUGCCCUGCUGGGUGCCGCCAUCCAUAUUCAGACGCUCCAGUAAUGAGGAGCACAACACUCAUGAAUACUGAGCUGAAAAACAGAGAAAGGCACGAGACAGCAGUG
ensembl:lncRNA